UUGGUUACAAAGUUACAUUCCUACGCAGAAGCAACCAGAGAUACUUUCAAUUUUCCAUGUGCCACGCAGAAAGUUCUAGGAAGUCAGUGUGAAUCGGCCUUAGUUUCCUUGCCUCCAGACCCUAUUCUCCUGCCUCACUUUUGCACCAACCUCAUACAACAACCCAUACAGAACUUGAAGAUCCAGGAAGCCUCUGCCUCCAUCCAGGAGCCGCUUCAUCCUCUACUCGGUGUAACUAUCUCUGAGAUUCCACAUCCUUUGAGAUUAAAAACACUUUACAUCUUCUGGGUCUGUUGACGGGUCCUUCCACCAAUCACAUCGCUGUGCUUCUGUGACAACUGAACACAACUGGAAGUGAAAAACAACUCCUCAUUCAAAGGGGUUUAACGUACCCAAUUGCAAGCAGGGAAGAGAAAAUCAAAAGAACGGAUGAGACUUAUAUACACUGUUCCUUGUAGAUUCUGGAUAUUGGGCCUUUGUCAGAUGCAUAGAUUGCAAAAAUUUUCUCCCACUCUGCCAAAAGAGGAGUACAUCUGAACAGCAAUAGAGCAGAGGAAGAAACCCUAAGUCAUGUUGUAGCCUAAUACCAUGGAGUAGCACAGACUUUGAAACCAGGCAGAACCAGGUUUGAACUUUAAUUGAG
rnacentral:lncRNA from 10 species